UACGGAGGGUCCAAGCGUUAAUCGGAAUUACUGGGCGUAAAGAGUGCGCAGGCGGUUGUGCAAGACCGAUGUGAAAUCCCCGGGCUUAACCUGGGAAUUGCAUUGGUGACUGCACGGCUAGAGUGUGUCAGAGGGGGGUAGAAUUCCACGUGUAGCAGUGAAAUGCGUAGAGAUGUGGAGGAAUACCGAUGGCGAAGGCAGCCCCCCUGGGAUAACACUGACGCUCAUGCACGAAAGCGUGGGGAGCAAACAGGAUUAGA
rnacentral:rRNA from 1 species